rnacentral:lncRNA from 1 species
GAGGGCUCUGCAGGGCUUGCCCUGCCUCUUGGUGGGGGUGAGUGGAUUAAUUGGUGGUAAUGGUAAGGUGAUGGCAUGAGGGGAUUGAGGUGAGCCAUUGAGAAGACCCUGCGUCAGGAUUAGGCAUCUGGACAGAUUGCAUCACUGAGAGCUGGAAUCAUUCCUGCGGAGCCCCUUGGCUUGUUGCUCCUCCAUGAGAGGGGUCUCUGUUGGAGUGAGAGACUGCAAUCCAUCAUCCACCAGUGGAGGGAAGCAAAAGACAGAAAAGGCAAGAAGGAAGGCAGAAAGAAAAGAGGGCCCACCGAAAUGAUGUGGUCUACACCAGUAUCUCAGGAUGGAGAAGCUCAGCAAGCCUUACAAAAGAAUGAUCCACACUCACUGUUUUCACCUCCUCCUCUCCCAUUCCCUCCCGCCACACCUCUGGGACCACCUUUCCCAGGGUUACUGAAGGC